GUUCUAAAACAAAAUUGUUACCCUUUCAACAUACGAAUCUCAGAAAGCAGGCUGACUGACAGCAGACUUUAACAUCUCCCCUCUAAUGAGCUUCCAACACAGUUAUGCUUACGUUUCACUACUGCCCUUCAGACAUAUCCAAGAGUAGAGAUGUGCUUCCUUUGCUUAUUAAAUCUAUAUUUAAUUUUUUAAGUGGAAUUAUUUUAAUCUAAAAGAGAAUUUUGCUAGAUAAAAGUAAAAAUAAGCAAAUAAUAAACAUGGUACCUAAUCUUCCCUUUUAUUAUUAUAAAACAAAUGAGGCUAAUGUAUAAACAUCAGUGCAUCUUACACUUCCCAAAUUCAAAAGAGCUCCAAGCUACUUAUAUCAGGGCAAUGUUCUAUGAGUCACAUCUUGCACCUUAGCACUUUAACACUUUAAAGAAUGCUACCCAGGGAGGGAUGGGCUAGGGGCUGGGGACUGGCAGAUGCACAUUGUGGUAUAUGGAAUGGUUGGCCAGUGGGGACCUGCUGUACAGCACAGGGAACUCUACCCAAUAUUCUGUGAUAAUCCCUAUGGGGAAAAAAUCUGAAAAAGAAUGAAUGUGUAUAUAUGUAUAACUGAAUUGCUUUGUUGUACAGCAGAAAUUAUCACAUUGUACAUCGACUACACUUCAGUAAAAUUUUUUAAAAUGAAAAAAAAAUAAUGUUACCUGAUAGACCACAAACACAAUAUACACUUUACUCCAAUGGAGUUUAUUUAUAUUUCUCUAGGAGUUCUAACUAGGCAGCAUAAUUAACUGUGGAGACAGUGAUCUGAAUGGAGGGAAAAAGAUGCUCCCACAUUUUGAGAAUAGUUGCAUCUGAGCUGUCCAUGGUUCCGAGAGAUUUAGAACAUCACUUUGAAGAAGUCCUAAAAUUUAAGUAACAAACCUGAAGAACUGUUAGUAGAGAGAUUUGCUAUGUGCACCCCCAGACUGACACUUGGCAUCAAAAAGACCUGAAAUAGACACAGGAGUUACUGCUGCUCAUCUUGCUUCUCCUGUGUACGAGCUUCCCAUCCUCUCUCCAUGCCAUUUCACCCUUCCCACCUCAGUUAGACACCCAGCUCAUACCAAUCAGAGCUUCUCAUCCCUCAGGAUGAACAGCUAUCUGGGGGUAUGCACAUGGUGAGAAUAACCAAACAUAACCAUUCUGAAGAAAUUAUAAAUACUAAGGGUUAGAGAAGAAUGGUCUUCAUUCUCUGGCAUUAUUAGCCAUGAGGCCUAGGACUGACCACUAACCCUCUUUCCUGCCACUUGUUACUCAAAAAUUAUACCAAAAUCAGGAAUUAGUAAAGGCGAGAGAGACACACAGAAUCCAGAAUACUAGAGAUUGAACCCGUGCCACAGCAGCAAUCCAAGCCGCGGCAGUGGCAAUGCCAGAUCCUUAACCUACUGUGCCACAAGAGAACUGCCCCUCUCCCUUUUCAGUUAAACUAAUUUGCUUGGUUUUUGGUUUUUGGUCUUUUCCUUUCUAGAGCCACACCUGCAGCAUAUGGAAGUUCCUGGGCUAGGGGUCAAAUCAGAGCUGCAGCUGCCAGCCUACACCACAGCCACAGCAACAAUGGAUCAGAGCCACAUCUGUGACUUAGGACAAAGCAACACCAGAUCCUUAACCCACUGAGCGAGGCCAGGAAUGAAAUCCACAUCCUCACAGACACUGUGUCGGGUUCUUAACCUGCUAAGUCACCAUGGGAACUUCUCAGUUAAUCUAAUUUGAAUUAAAUUUCUGCCACUUGCAGUUGAAAGAGUCCUGAUUCCCAACGCAAGAACAUAAUAAAUUAAUUCUCUCUUUGAAAACACAAAAUAAUAGAAUAUUGGAUAAAAACACCUACAUUACAUAAUGAAAUAAAUUUAAUUUUGCUUAUCAGUAGAUUAACUUGAAUAAUGAGCUGGCAUAUAUAAUUCCUUUGCUACCAAGUAACCAGCUUUUGAGAACCUUGAGGGACAAAACCAAAAAGCAUUCUUCUUAGAAGAAACAUUUAUAAAGAAAGCUAAGGACACAACAGACUAAAAGAGACAUGCUUCAAAGUAUAAAAAGAGUAGGAAUGUGAAGAUUUCAACAACAUUUAAAACAAUGCGGAGAGCUGCAUUUAGCAAGGCACAUUUUCAACUGAGGACAAUGGAAAAUAUGAGGGAAUAUAUUUCAUGAAUUAUGCAUUAUAUCAGAACCUCAUUUAGUAAGCAUUCUGACCUCUGCUAUUUCUGUGCUAGUGUCUGUUGUACUCUCAAUUAAUCAGGAAAGAAAUUAGCAUGGUAGAUAAUAGAUAAUGCUAGAAUUAAAGACAGGAAGUUGAAAACCUUUAUAGUAAUUUAACAUUUAAAAGCAUGAAAUUAGUUUUGAAAUUAAAAUGAAAUCAAAGAACAGAAGCAAGAAGUAACCUCUUUUUGGUUCAAGCUAUAAUUUUUAAGAGGACAUAAAAUUACUCUCUAUAUUUUUAUUCUCCACGAUGUGGUUCAAAUGUGAAUGAACUAUUUAAAUUAUAUAUUUAUAUAAUAAAAAUAUAGAAUAGAGAGCAGGGAGUCGAUCAAUGUAGGCCCUGCACUGAAACUGAAUGUAGCACAUUAAAAAAUAAUCUGGUGGUUAGAUAUAGAAGAAAACUUUAGUAAGGAAAACUUCUAUGUUGAAAUUACUAUAGGUUAAUAUUUUCAUCCUAAAUGGGAAAUUUAGGAGUUCCCGGUGUGGCUCAGUGGGUUAAGGAUCCAGCAUAUUGCCGUAGCUAUGGCAUAGGUCGCAGCUGUGGCUCAGAUUUGAUCCCUGGCCUGGAAACUUCCAUAUACCAUGGGUGUGCCCCCCCCCCAAAAAAAGGAAAUUUAAAUGAUUAUAUGUGUUUGUGGAUUAAUUUUCCUACCAGUUAAAUUAAUGUAAUGAUUUUUCUCCUAAAUAUUAAUUAUGUAUUAAUUAUAAAUUAUUUUCAUUUAUAAAAUAGAAAAUUCUAAGCAGAGAAAUAAUUAAAAUGGCACUAUCUCCUAAAAAUUCUACAAAGCUCUCAUGAUGUCCCUCAAAUAUUGCCCAUUACUUUUCUGCCUUUAUUCC
rnacentral:lncRNA from 1 species